rnacentral:lncRNA from 1 species
GAUCUUUCAAACCUUUUCUGAAUUCAAGCAAUGCUUUCCUCUCCCUCUCAAUACAAACGACAUUCCGAGAAUCAGUAUUAGACUCUGCAGCUUCAAGGAAAUUUGAUUUAGUUAACAGAAGUGUAGAAAGAAGUAGAAUUUGAGUUGAAGUUCUCCGGGUAGCCAUAGCUUGUUCGAAUAAAAGGAUUACAAAGUUCAAAA